rnacentral:rRNA from 1 species
UGGGGAAUAUUGCACAAUGGGCGCAAGCCUGAUGCAGCCAUGCCGCGUGUAUGAAGAAGGCCUUGGGUUGUAAAGUACUUUCAGCGGGGAGGAAGGCGAUAAGGUUAAUAACCUUGUCGAUUGACGUUACCCGCAGAAGAAGCACCGGCUAACUCCGUGCUAG